rnacentral:rRNA from 1 species
UGGGGAAUAUUGGACAAUGGGGGGAACCCUGAUCCAGCCAUGCCGCGUGUGUGAAGAAGGCCUUUUGGUUGUAAAGCACUUUAAGCGAGGAGGAGGCGCUCUAGGAUAAUACCCUAGAUGCGUGGACGUUACUCGCAGAAUAAGCACCGGCUAACUCUGUG